rnacentral:rRNA from 1 species
UACAGGGGGUGCAAACGUUGCUCGGAAUUAUUGGGCGUAAAGCGCGCGUAGGCGGCCACUUAAGUCGGAUGUGAAAGCCCCUGGCUCAACUGGGGAAGUGCACCCGAAACUGAAUGGCUUGAGUGCGAAAGAGGGUCGCGGAAUUCCCGGUGUAGAGGUGAAAUUCGUAGAUAUCGGGAGGAACACCGGUGGCGAAGGCGGCGACCUGGGUCGACACUGACGCUGAGGCGCGAAGGCGUGGGGAGCAAACAGG